GACGAACGCUGGCGGUGUGCUUAACACAUGCAAGUCGAACGGUAAGGCCCUUCCUGGGGUACACGAGUGGCGCACGGGUGAGUAACACGUGAGUAACCUGCCCUCAUCUCUGGGAUAACAGUCGGAAACGGUUGCUAAUAUUGGAUAUGAGCUUGCAAGGCAUCUUUUGGGUUGGAAAGAUUUUUUUUGGUUGGGGAUGGACUCGCGGCCUAUCAGCUUGUUGGUGAGGUAGUGGCUCACCAAGGCUUCGACGGGUAGCCGGCCUGAGAGGGCGACAGGCCACAUUGGGACUGAGAUAAGGCCCAAACUCCUACGGGAGGCAGCAGUGGGGAAUAUUGCACAAUGGACGGAAGUCUGAUGCAGCAACGCCGCGUGCGGGAUGACGGCCUUCGGGUUGUAAACCGCUUUCAAUUGUGACGAAGCUUUUUUGUGACGGUAGCAGUAGAAGAAGCACCGGCUAACUACGUG
rnacentral:rRNA from 1 species